rnacentral:lncRNA from 1 species
UGGCAACUGGGCCAGCAUCUGACACCUGGCAGUUCUUGGGAAAUACCUGCACACGAAUGGAGGCAAGGCCUCUCUCCAGGGGAGGACGCUGAAGAGGUGAAAAGUGAGCCUCCUGCUCUCCCUUUGAGGCAAUUUGGCAUAGCCUGGGUUCUCAGAUCAGACGGAAGUGGGUUCAGUUCUCGGCUCGGAGCCACCUUAGACUGCUGGUUGAAAUACCUCUGGGCCUGUUCCUGCCUCUGGACAGUGGGAAGGCCGCUACAGGAGGCGAGAGGGACACCUAACCUCAUCUCCGCUGGGCACAGAGACGGCUUCUCAGAAGAAGCGAUAUCUACACAAAGUCCUAAAGACCAAGGGGUCAGUGUGGACCAUGAGGACUGAAGAUGGGGUUGAAGAAUGGAGGAGAAUAAUUGAAAGCAGCAACUGGAACAGAUAUUUGUACAUCUCUAUUUAUUUGCAGCAUUGUUCAGAACAGGCGAAAGGCACAGCACUGAGUGCUGGAGAUGCAAGAAUCCAUCCAACCAACGCAGGCAGAUGGCAACAAGUGCCAGGAGGAACACGCAUCAGGGCAAGGGGAGAGGCGUCCCUGGCCAUGGCUGGCGAAGGGUAGUGGCAAGUGUCUCAUUGAACAUGGAGCCGUGUGGGCAUUUGAGUCCCGGAAGGGGCCAGCCUGGGAGUCCUGAGUCUCUUGUGGUGACCAACAUAAAUAAAGAUAAAGGUGCUUCUGCCUCCUCUUCCCUUCCUG